rnacentral:lncRNA from 1 species
AGGGCCCCGGGGCGUGGUGGGGAGACAGGGCCUCGAGGGCAUCGCUGGACCAGAUGGGCUUCCUGGCAGGGACGGGCAAGCAGGACAGCAGGGGGAGCAGGGAGACGAUGGGGACCCUGGCCCCAUGGGCCCUGCUGGGAAGAGAGGAAAUCCAGGUGUGGCCGGCUUACCUGGAGCACAGGGACCCCCAGGAUUCAAGGGUGAGAGUGGGUUACCCGGACAGCUGGGUCCCCCUGGCAAGCGAGGAACAGAGGGCAGAACGGGGCUCCCUGGAAACCAGGGGGAGCCUGGGUCCAAAGGCCAGCCGGGCGACUCUGGCGAGAUGGGCUUCCCAGGAAUGGCAGGUCUCUUCGGACCCAAGGUACGGACUCCCACUGCUCACUGUUCCUGUGGGGUCCCAUCCAUUCACCCCAUUCAUUCAUUUAUUCAUUCAACAAAUAUUUAUGGAGCACUGAAAACAUUGGCUGGAAAACAGCCAGAAUCAGGCAUGAACACCCUCAUCCCCCAGUACUCCAGAAGAUCUAGGUUCCAAGCCCAGCUACACAAUUACCUGCUCUGUGCCUUGCAAAGUCACUUAGUCUCUCUAAGCCUUGGUUUCCUCAUCUGUAAAAUGGGAGCAAUGACAGUAGAAGACUGUUGCAAAAAUAAAGACCAGGGGCAUAUGCCACACAGCAAUGAGCCAACACACUGCUGGUACCUGCUAAAUAAUUGUAGGUGUUUCUUACUCCUUCUGGGGCCUCUCAGGUAAGGCCUCUCUUGACAAGAAGGGCAAAGGUCGACAGACCCCAGGGGUGAGGGAGCUGUGGGGGCCCUUUACCCAGUGGCUGCCAAGUACAGACAGCCCUUUCUCUGCCUCCCACAGGGCCCGCCUGGAGACAUUGGCUUCAAAGGCAUCCAGGGCCCUCGGGGGCCACCUGGCUUGAUGGUGAGUUCCCUCCCUGCUGUCGGAGCAGAGAUGAUUGUCCUAGGCCCAAGGUUGGCCAGCCAUCAGCUGGCCUGUCUUCAUCCUCUUCUUGCUCCUUGACUCAUGAGCCCUUUCUGCCCACAGGCCUGGUUCCCACCUUCACUCCUGCCAUUCCCACCAGCUCAGCCCCCAUCCUUCCCCCCUUUCACUCUUGCCCCCAUCGCCCCACUCUUGAAGCCCACCCCUAGGCACAAAGGAGGGGCUCAGGAGAUGCAUGGCCUGGGCCUGCUUCAGAUGGUCUCCCUUCCACUCCCUUGCGACGCUCGGGCUGCCCUCCACCCCGCUCCCCGUGUCUGUUCCCCAGGCCCUAGAACAAGGACACAUGAGCCUUUCUGUCUCCUUUAGGGAAAGGAAGGCAUCGUCGGGCCCCUGGGAAUCCUGGGACCUUCGGGACUCCCGGGUCCGAAGGGUGACAAAGGCAGCCGUGGGGACUGGGUAAGUGGAUGGGCUGGGGCUGAGGGACGCAGCGCUGCAGGGGCGGGGGAGGGGUGGGCUCCCAGAGUUGGGCCAUGGCUCAGCCAGGUUCCCUAACUCUCUCCCCUGCUUCUGUCUCCCUCCAGGGAUUGCAAGGUCCGAGGGUGAGUGGGCUGGGCAUGAGGGCUGUGGGGCGGGGCGUGGGGCGGGCACCCUGCAUUCUCCUCCCGGUGGUACAUUCUCUCCCUCCGGACCUCCGUCAUCCCGUCUGUGCCAGAGGAACCAUUGUCCCUGGGUCCCAGGUCUGCUUGAGGAGGGACUGGGUUGGGGAGAGAUGAAGACCCUGUGGACCAGGGCUCACUCUUCUUCUCUUGUUCCCCCAGGGUCCUCCCGGCCCCAGAGGGCGGCCCGGCCCCCCGGUAGGUAACUGAGUGCUGGGUGCAUCUUGGACUCCUGGGGGGUUCCUUUGAAGGAGACUCAAGGCUUCACCGGCAGACUAAGCCUUGACCCUGAACCCCACAGGGGUUCUUGUAGCCCACAGACUCCUAGGAGAGUAUAGGGCAUCCCCCGAACAUUCACUUUUGCCUACGUGGGGUAACACCUAGGGGCCAGGCCUCCAGAAAAGCAUAAACCAGUCCAGUGGGGCCCACCAAGCCUCCGGGAAAGCAGAAGCCAGCUUGGCAGGUCCUGCAUGCUUUGAUGGCCUCCCCGGUCUCCUGACACCCUCCCAGAUUCCAGCACACUGUCCCUGUCAUUUGACUGACCCGCUGUCUUCUUUUGCAGGGUCCUCCAGGGGGUCCUAUCCAAUUGGUAAGUUGGAAACAUUCUCUUUUGCCUACUUGGGGUAAGGCCUGAGGGGUUUGGCGGAAGAGGCUGCUGGCCCUCUCUGGCCCUGGUGGCUAGAGCCCUAAGCUGAGUCUAGGGACGCCCAUGUCCUUUUGUCACUUCAUACUGGAGACUUGGACCCGGAAGCAACAGAAAGAGCCCUGGGCCAGGAGGCAGGAAACCUAAGUUUUUGAUGUGUCCCUGACUGAAUCCGGGAAGAUGCUCCAGCCACCGGGUUCGUGGCCCUAUCUGUGUACUCCAUACACGUGGGCUGAUUGCAAGGGUCUGUACAUCUCAGAUUCUGAAUCCAAAGAGAGUUGGGGCCGGGCGCAGUGGCUCAUGCCUGUAAUCCCAGCACUUUGGAAGUUCGAGGCGAGCAGAUCACCUGAGGUCAGGAGUUCGAGACCAACCUGACCAACAUGGUGAAACCCUGUCUCUACUAAAAAUACGUAAGUAGUUGGGUGUGGUGGGUGGCACCUGUAAUCCCAGCUACAGGAGAGGUUGAACCCGGGAG